rnacentral:rRNA from 1 species
GACGAACGCUGGCGGCGUGCUUAACACAUGCAAGUCGAACGGAAAUGCCCUGCUUUUGUGGGGUGCUCGAGUGGCGAACGGGUGAGUAACACGUGAGUAACCUUCCCUUGACUUUGGGAUAACUUCAGGAAACUGGGGCUAAUACCGGAUAGGAGCUCCUGCUGCAUGGUGGGGGUUGGAAAGUUUCGGCGGUUGGGGAUGGACUCGCGGCUUAUCAGCUUGUUGGUGGGGUAGUGGCUUACCAAGGCUUUGACGGGUAGCCGGCCUGAGAGGGUGACCGGCCACAUUGGGACUGAGAUACGGCCCAGACUCCUACGGGAGGCAGCAGUGGGGAAUAUUGCACAAUGGGCGGAAGCCUGAUGCAGCAACGCCGCGUGCGGGAUGACGGCCUUCGGGUUGUAAACCGCUUUCGCCUGUGACGAAGCGUGAGUGACGGUAAUGGGUAAAGAAGCACCGGCUAACUACGUG